rnacentral:misc_RNA from 1 species
GAUGAAGAACGUAGCGAAAUGCGAUAAGUAGUGUGAAUUGCAGAAUUCAGUGAAUCAUCGAAUCUUUGAACGCACAUUGCGCCCCUUGGUAUUCCAUGGGGCAUGCCUGUUCGAGCGUCAUUUGUACCUUCAAGCUCUGCUUGGUGUUGGGUGUUUGUCUCGCCUCUGCGUGUAGACUCGCCUCAAAACAAUUGGCAGCCGGCGUAUUGAUUUCGGAGCGCAGUACAUCUCGCGCUUUGCACUCAUAACGACGACGUCCAAAAGUACAUUUUUACACUCUUGACCUCGGAUCGGGUAGGGAUACCCGCUGAACUUAAGCAUAUCAAUAAGCGGAGGA